GUAAUGGGGUGGAUUAGCCAUGCUAGUUGCACGAGUUUAGACUCGUAGCAGAUAGCUCAGUAACACGUGGCCAAACUACCCUAUGGAUCCGAAUAACCUCGGGAAACUGAGGCUAAUGCGGAAUAGCGUUCAUCGCCUGGAGUGGCACGAACGCGAAACGUUACGGCGCCAUAGGAUGUGGCUGCGGCCGAUUAGGUAGACGGUGGGGUAACGGCCCACCGUGCCCAUAAUCGGUACGGGUUGUGAGAGCAAGAGCCCGGAGACGGUAUCUGAGACAAGAUACCGGGCCCUACGGGGCGCAGCAGGCGCGAAACCUUUACACUGCACGCGAGUGCGAUAAGGGGACUCCGAGUGCGAGGGCAUAUAGUCCUCGCUUUUCACGACCGUAAGGUGGUCGUAGAAUAAGUGCUGGGCAAGACCGGUGCCAGCCGCCGCGGUAAUACCGGCAGCACGAGUGAUGACCGCUAUUAUUGGGCCUAAAGCGUCCGUAGCUGGCCACGCAAGUCUAUCGGGAAAUCCGCGCGCUUAACGCGCGGGCGUCCGGUGGAAACUGUGUGGCUUGGGACCGGAAGACCAGAGGGGUACGUCCGGGGUAGGAGU
rnacentral:rRNA from 1 species